UACGUAGGGUGCGAGCGUUGUCCGGAAUUACUGGGCGUAAAGAGCUCGUAGGUGGUUUGUCGCGUUGUUCGUGAAAACUCACAGCUCAACUGUGGGCGUGCGGGCGAUACGGGCAGACUGGAGUUCGGUAGGGGAGACUGGAAUUCCUGGUGUAGCGGUGAGAUGCGCAGAUAUCAGGAGGAACACCGGUGGCGAAGGCGGGUCUCUGGGCCGAUACUGACGCUGAGGAGCGAAAGCGUGGGGAGCGAACAGG
rnacentral:rRNA from 1 species